CUCUUGGUUCUUUUGUGUGGCCUGCUGUUCUAAUAACUGAUGCUUACAAUGGUUUGAACAAUCAGCCUUACAGACGGCAAAAGGACAAAGAAUUUGGAGGUCACUGCAUUAAAGUCACAAUUGGAUGAACAAAAUAAACGAAAUGAAGAACGUGACAAAAGACUUGAUGCAAUCAUGAAC